GUAACGGCGAGUGAAGCGGCAAUAGCUCAAAUUUGAAAUCUGGCUCUUUCAGAGUCCGGAGUUGUAAUUUGCAGAGGGCGCUUUGGCGUCGGCAGCGGCCUAAGUUCCUUGGAACAGGUCAUCAUAGAGGGUGAGAAUCCCGUAUGUGGUCGACUGUCUUCACCGUGUAAAGCCCCUUCGACGAGUCGAGUUGUUUGGGAAUGCAGCUCUAAAUGGGAGGUAAAUUUCUUCUAAAGCUAAAUAUUGGCCAGAGACCGAUAGCGCACAAGUAGAGUGAUCGAAAGAUGAAAAGCACUUUGGAAAGAGAGUCAAAAAGCACGUGAAAUUGUUGAAAGGGAAGCGCUUGCAGCCAGACGUGCCUGUAGUUGCUCAUCUGGGGUUUUCCCCAGUGCACUCUUCUAUAGGCAGGCCAGCAUCAGUCCGGGCGGUUGGAGAAAGACCUGUGUCAUGUAGCUGUUUUCGGGCAGUGUUAUAGGGCAGGUGGAAUGCAACCAGCCUGGACUGAGGUCCGCGCAUCUGCUAGGAUGCUGGCGUAAUGGCUGUAAGCGGCCCGUCUUGAAACACGGACCAAGGAGUCUAACAUCUAUGCGAGUGUUUGGGUGUCAAGCCCGAGCGCGUAAUGAAAGUGAACGGAGGUGGGAACCUUAGGGUGCACCAUCGACCGAUCCUGAUGUCUUCGGAUGGAUUUGAGUAAGAGCAUAGCUGUUGGGACCCGAAAGAUGGUGAACUAUGCCUGAAUAGGGUGAAGCCAGAGGAAACUCUGGUGGAGGCUCGCAGCGGUUCUGACGUGCAAAUCGAUCGUCAAAUUUGGGCAUAGGGGCGAAAGACUAAUCGAACUAUCUAGUAGCUG
rnacentral:rRNA from 1 species